GGGUAGCCGGCCUGAGAGGGCGACCGGUCACACUGGGACUGAGACACGGCCCAGACUCCUACGGGAGGCAGCAGUGGGGAAUAUUGCGCAAUGGGCGGAAGCCUGACGCAGCGACGCCGCGUGGGGGAUGACGGCCUUCGGGUUGUAAACCACUUUCAGCAGGGACGAAGCUAACGUGACGGUACCUGCAGAAGAAGCGCCGGCUAACUACGUGCCAGCAGCCGCGGUAAUACGUAGGGCGCAAGCGUUGUCCGGAAUUAUUGGGCGUAAUGAGCUCGUAGGCGGUUUGUCGCGUCUGUCGUGAAAGCCCACGGCUUAACCGUGGGUCUGCGGUGGAUACGGGCAGACUAGAGGCAGGUAGGGGAGAAUGGAAUUCCCGGUGUAGCGGUGAAAUGCGCAGAUAUCGGGAGGAACACCGGUGGCGAAGGCGGUGCUCUGGGGCUGUUCUGACGCUGAGGAGCGAAAGCGUGGGGAGCGAACAGGAUUAGAUACCCUGGUAGUUCACGCCGUAAACGUUGGGCGCUAGGUGUGGGGUCCUUCCACGGGUUCCGCGCCGUAGCUAACGCAUUAAGCGCCCCGCCUGGGGAGUACGGCCGCAAGGCUAAAACUCAAAGGAAUUGGCGGGGGCCCGCACAAGCGGCGGAGCAUGUUGCUUAAUUCGACGCAACGCGAAGAACCUUACCAAGGCUUGACAUCGCCGGAAAACUCGCAGAGAUGCGGGGUCCUUUUUGGGCCGGUGACAGGUGGUGCAUGGCUG
rnacentral:rRNA from 1 species